rnacentral:lncRNA from 1 species
AACGAUAUGUGUGUGUGUGUGUGUGUGUGAGUAAAGCGCAUCCACACUCGAGUAACAUAAACACAAAAGGUGAGUCUCAUCUCACUCCGACUAUCAGUCAGUUUAUCAUGUAUUUAUGGAGAAACUGAGCUUUUUAGACUCCGAGUCAAUUGAAUCAAAUGAUUCACAUAAUGAGUCGCUGACGUCACGUGCUGCAGUGCACUGAACACUGAACUGGAGCUGAAGAGACUGAGAUCCACGUGACACACUGAUGAAGAUGAUGUUUGUUAAAGAGGAGAGUGAAGACAUCAGGAUUGAAGAAGUGUUCAGUCUGAAACAAGAUCCUGAGGAACAAACAGACAUGGUGUUGAA